UGGGGUGUAGCUUGGUGGUAAAGCACUUGCUAGCAUGCAUGAGGCCUUGGGUUCAAUCCCCAGCACGGCAA
rnacentral:tRNA from 1 species